rnacentral:rRNA from 1 species
GCGGUGUAAAAUGAGCGUGCGUCCUAUUAGCUAGUUGGAGAGGUAAUGGCUCACCAAGGCUACGAUGGGUAGGGGUUCUUAGUGGAAGGUCCCCCACACUGGCACUGAGAUACGGGCCAGACUCCUACGGGAGGCAGCAGUAGGGAAUAUUGGUCAAUGGGCGCAAGCCUGAACCAGCCAUGCCGCGUGCAGGAUGAAGGCUCUCUGAGUUGUAAACUGCUUUUGUACAGGAGCAAAAAAGCCCCUGCGGGGACUCUUGAGAGUACUGUAGAAUAAGCACCGGCUAAUUCCGUGCCAGCAGCCGCGGUAAUACGGAGGGUGCAAGCGUUAUCCGGUUUUAUUGGGUUUAAAGGGUGCGCAGGCGGCUUAUUAAGUCAGUUGUGAAAUCCUAGUGCUUAACGCUAGAACUGCGAUUGAUACUAUUAGGCUUGAGUUAAGAAUAGCU